rnacentral:rRNA from 1 species
ACUCCUACGGGAGGCAGCAGUGGGGAAUUUUCCGCAAUGGGCGAAAGCCUGACGGAGCAAUACCGCGUGAGGGAUGAAAGCCUGUGGGUUGUAAACCUCUUUUCUCAAGGAAGAAGUUUUGACGGUACUUGAGGAAUAAGCAUCGGCUAACUCUGUGCCAGCAGCCGCGGUAAUAC